rnacentral:rRNA from 1 species
GCUCAAAUUUGAAAUCUCUAGGUUUAGCCUAGCGAAUUGUAAUUUCAAGAGUCGUUAUCGGGAGCAGUUUGAGUCCAAGUCCUUUGGAACAAGGUAUCAUGGAGGGUGAGAAUCCCGUUCUUGAUUCAAGGACUGCUUCUAUGUGAUGCGAUUUCUACGAGUCGGUUUGUUUGGGAAUGCAGACCAAAAUGGGUGGUAAAUACCAUCUAAAGCUAAAUAUUGGCGAGAGACCGAUAGCGAACAAGUACCGUGAGGGAAAGAUGAAAAGAACUUUGAAAAGAGAGUUAAAUAGUACGUGAAAUUGUCAAAAGGGAACCGUUAUGAACCAGUAUUGAUGUUUGAAAAUCAGCCUUUUUGAAAGAAAGGGUGCACUUUUCAGAUUUCAAGUCAACAUCAGUUUGUUUCGUGGUAAAAGAGUCACGGAAGGUAGCCCCUCGGGGUGUUAUAGCCGUGAUGGAUGCCAUGGGAUGGACUGAGGAAUGCAGCGUUUCUUGGGGUUUCCACACCAACGCUUAGGAUGCUUGACGAAAUGGUUUUUAACGACCCGUCUUGAAACACGGACCAAGGAGUCUAACACAUGUGCGAGUAUUUGGGUGUCAAACCCUUUUGCGAAAUGAAAGUGAACGAGGUGGGAAAUUUGCACCAUCGACCUGUCAGGAUCCUUUUAGGUGAACGAACAGAGUAAGAGCAUAUUUGUUGGGACCCGAAAGAUGGUGAACUAUGUCUGACAAGGGUGAAGCCAGAGG